AGGUUACGCCGACGUUGCUUGACAAUAUAUGGAGACUUAGGUCUCUGCAGAGCAAAAGUGGUUGCUUAUGGGUGUUUUCAAACUGCUGGAUGUUUCUAAAUCAUGCAAUUUAUUCUAAGCUCUGUCUUUAAUAUCUUGAAUUUACUGUGUAAGAGACGGCUGCGCCGGGCAGUGGAUGAUUGGUUAUGAGAGACCACGCCCCCUUCAGGCUACUCUUACGCGAGGCUCCUCCUCUAUUUCCUGACCCAGGCUCGUAUAGGUCACUGAAGGUUCCAGGGGCCCCACGGUGGGCGUGUCUGUGAUAGCAUUUCCCGUGUUGCGGAACUGUUUAUAAACGCGAGGAUCUUGUGCCACAUAGGUGGAGGAGGAGGAGUAAAAGACCAGUCCCAGGAGGAUGAUGAAGAAGGACAGCAGAAAGAGACAGAUGACAGCUGUGCUGAGCCUCCUUCACACAAGGACAUCCAAAACAAAGCCAGAAAUGCUUCAGAUGUGAUUAUAGCUUUUGUUAUCACUAAAAAACGCCGCUCCACUCAGACCCAAUCUGAUUUUGUUGAGCCACUUCUAACUAUUCCCAGCAAGCAGAAAGAACAUGCAGUAACCCGAAGCUUUCUGCCGAGGCUUGUUUCAUAUCCAUCACUCUAAUUGUACUUCAUGAAUCCUGAAGCUCAAAAACAUGGUCCUAAUACAUUCACCUUACAAAAAAAAAGUCAAGCAGUUUUAUUCACCAGCAAAACAUCCUCCGUACUUCCAUACUUCACUUUAAUAGCACCGUAACCAUUAAAACCAGUCAUUGUGAUACUCCAUAUAAUAAUCAAUUCAAAAGAAGCAGAAUCCCUUUUUGUCCUCCAGACGGUGUAAUCUGUACUAGACGAGGAGAGGGAGUUUAAAACACUAUGCUCAUUGUACAGUAUGACUAAUGGCUUUGUUCAAUGACGGCUUUAGUUGUAAUGGUGGUGUUUAGAGAUGAAGUCUCACAUUGUGGCUGGAUCCUUCCCUGAAGCCAAAGUGCCUCUGAAAUCCCCUGAUAAAUCGUCUAGUAUUUCAGUGAAGAAUCCUUGCUCAUUCUUUUAAAGGCGUUGUAUUAUUGCAUUUUGGAUCUGCUUCAAUUCAAUGCAGCUUUUUAAAGCGGUUCGUAUUGAAGGAUGGGGCAGCACAACCUAUAUUGAACCCAACGGCAAACUCGCAAAUAAGCACUGCUGUGAACAGGGUUUGAAAUGAACUUUUUCACUCAACAGCCAAUUUGGUAACUAACUUUUUAAGUUACCAGGCAUUCAGAACUUCUACAGUACAAGCUAAAACAAAAAAUAUCAGAAGAAAAACAGAUUGUAAGACAGAAAUCAUGGCUUAGAUUUAAAGUAUGUUUAUUAUUAAACAUGAAUUGAAAGUUUUCAGAUUGUUUGUGGAUCCACUGCAUUGCUUAAAAAAAUAAAAAUAUAUAUAAAAUCUCAGUGACUUUACAUAUGAAACAAAUAAAACAAUAAAAUUAGUUUCAAUUUUAGAAAACAUUUGAGUUAGAAAGUAUUUGACUUUUAAAGACGUGCACUUCUUGUCCAGUGUGCGGCCCUCUUUUCGCUUUGUUUUGCUAAUGCCAGAGGCUCCUGGUUGGAAA